UACGUAGGUGGCAAGCGUUGUUCGGAAUUAUUGGGCGUAAAGGGCGCGUAGGCGGUUUGUUAAGUCAGCUGUGAAAGCCCGGGGCUCAACCCCGGAGGGUCAGCUGAUACUGGCAGACUAGAGUACAGAAGAGGUAACUGGAAUUCCCGGUAUAGCGGUGAAAUGCGUAGAUAUCGGGAGGAACACCUGAGGCGAAGGCGGGUUACUGGGCUGAUACUGACGCUGAUGCGCGAAAGCCAGGGGAGCAAACGGG
rnacentral:rRNA from 1 species